CUAAGUUUGAUGGCGACCGGCGCACGGGUGAGUAACACGUAUCCAACCUGCCGAUGACUCGGGGAUAGCCUUUCGAAAGAAAGAUUAAUACCCGAUGGCAUAGUUCUUCCGCAUGGUGGAACUAUUAAAGGAUUUCGGUCAUCGAUGGGGAUGCGUUCCAUUAGGUUGUUGGCGGGGUAACGGCCCACCAAGCCUUCGAUGGAUAGGGGUUCUGAGAGGAAGGUCCCCCACCAUUGGAACUGAGAUACGGCCCAGACUCCUACGGGAGGCAGCAUG
rnacentral:rRNA from 1 species